AAUUCUACAUUCAUUUCUACAGAAAGAAAAUACUGAUCUCUCUUCCAAGAACUCUGCUUGGAGCCAGAGAAACAGCUGAAUAGGAGAUACAGACCCUGUCUGCUUUGAGCCCAUAGUUUCGUGAACUACACUACAGAGUGAAGUCUAGAAGAGGAAGGGACCCCGGACAGCUCAACAUCAGGACUCCUGUGCUGUUCCAGGUGACUGGACCCAACAGCUGUGUGGAAGAACGUGCCCAGAGGGAAGACAGCGCAUGGUAGAGACUAAGGGAAUCAAUGCGUGGGCUGCCAAGAGCAUGGGCUUUGGAGUCAGACAGAUGUGCACAGGAACCCUGGCUGCCCUCAAUAGCUGUAUUGACCUCUGGCUACUUCUCAGAAUCUCAGUUUCCUCAUCAGUCAAAUGGGGAUAAUAUCUACUUCAUACAGCUGUUAUGAGGAUAAAAUAAAGUACCCCAAACAUCA